rnacentral:rRNA from 1 species
UCGGGAAUUUUGGACAAUGGGGGAAACCCUGAUCCAGCGACGCCGCGUGGAGGAAGAAGGUUUUCGGAUUGUAAACUCCUUUUCACUAGGAGGCCCAGGUUUUUGUGAUCAAUGGUUGAUCAUAAGAAUCUGGGAUACAGUACUAGUGGAAUAAGUCACGGCUAACUACGUGCCAGCAGCCGCGGUAAUACGUAGGUGGCUAGCGUUAUUCGGAAUUACUGGGCGUAAAGCGUUCGUAGGCUUUUUUGUAGGUCUUUGAUUAAAUGCUGAAGCUCAACUUCAGUUCGGUUGAAGAAACCCCAAGAAUAGAAGGGUAUCGAGGUAAGUGGAAUUUGUGGUGUAGCAGUGAAAUGCGUUGAUAUCACAAGGAACACCAAUGGCGAAGGCAGCUUACUAGGUAUUACUUGACGCUGAGGAACGAAAGCGUGGGGAGCAAACGGG